rnacentral:rRNA from 1 species
GUGAGGAAUAUUGGUCAAUGGGCGGGAGCCUAAACCAGCCAAGUCGCGUGAAGGAAGAAGGAUCUAUGGUUCGUAAACUUCUUUUGCAGGGGAAUAAAGUGCAGGACGUGUCCUGUUUUGUAUGUACCCUGAGAAUAAGGAUCGGCUAACUCCGUGCCAGCAGCCGCGGUAAUACGGAGGAUCCGAGCGUUAUCCGGAUUUAUUGGGUUUAAAGGGUGCGUAGGUGGUUUGAUAAGUCAGCGGUGAAAGUUUGCAGCUUAACUGUAAAAAUGCCGUUGAAACUGUCGGACUUGAGUGUAAAUGAGGUAGGCGGAAUGCGUGGUGUAGCGGUGAAAUGCAUAGAUAUCACGCAGAACUCCGAUUGCGAAGGCAGCUUACUAAGCUACAACUGACACUGAAGCACGAAAGCGUGGGGAUCAAACAGGAUUAGAAACCCCGGUAGUCC